UGAUGGCCCCUCCCUCCUUACACGGUUUGCUCCACCCUCUGGGCUGGGCGGCUCCCCGGGCCCUCAAUUCUGACGCACGCGCCUACAGGGAGAGUCAGAAAGUUGUCGCGAGAUGAGGAAAUCCUGACGCUGGCUUUGUCUUCCUGACCCGGGAGGUGAAAAAUUUUGUUUCCCGUUUCCAUAAAGGAUAGUUACUUAGAAGUUGCCAUUGUUACCGAAACGCCAGGUUAUAUAGUCCUCUGCUUUUAAACCUUUAGCCCUAACCCUAGUCAAACCAUGAGAAGAAAUAUCAGACAAAAUCAAGUUGAUGGACAAUCUACAAAUUAUAUAUCCGUAUUUAAUAUUGUCAUGAUCUUGAAUAACAAGAAAAGUCUGUGAAACUGUCAUACCAGAGGAGAUGAUACAUGAUGACUAAAUGUGAUACCCUGUCUGGGAACCUCAAGUAGAGAAAGGACAUUAAUGUCAAACUAGUGAAAUCUGAAUAAAGUGUGAAAUUUAGUUAAUAGUAAUGUGCCAAUAUUGGUUUCUUAGUUGUGACAGAUGUAUAUGGUAUUGUAAGAUAUUAACAAUCGGAGAAAUUGGAUGGGGGAUAUGUGGGAACUCCCUGUACUAUUUUUUCAACUUUUCUGUAAACCUAAAACUAUUUUAAAAUAAAGCUUAAUAAAAAAGCA